UGAGCAAUCUGCCCUUCUCAUCGGAAUAAGCGUUGGAAACGACGUCUAAUGCCGAAUACGACCUCCUUUCGCAUGAUCGGAGGUGGAAAGCUCCGGCGGAGAAGGAUGGGCUCGCGGCCUAUCAGCUAGUUGGUGAGGUAACGGCUCACCAAGGCAACGAUGCGUAGCCGACCUGAGAGGGUNAUCGGCCACAUUGGAACUGAGACACGGUCCAGACCUCUACGGGA
rnacentral:rRNA from 1 species